AAGCAUCACAGCUAGUCUUAGAUUGCCAGACCCCAAUGUGGCAGCUGCAUGUUUCAUCAACUCAUACUGAUGGGUUCCCUCCGGAAUGUUCUUCUUUGGUUUGAAAGUUUUCGACGAACGGCUUCCACUGAAACCAGCCUCAUGUGACUUUUGGACAAUUUUCGACCGGCCCUGGCCUUGACUACUUACAAAAGGAAGCUCAUCGUGAAGUCCUAUCCUUGGGGAAACAAAUGCGUAAAGCUGAGAGGCUGUUCCGCCGCGAUAAUUGUUUGUAGUUUUGUUGCAAUUAGUGUUAAAAUCAGUUAUUUGUCAAUGACCUCACUACCACUCGCACUCACACACAGAUGUUUGUGACAUUUUCCUUGACACUUCCACUUCCACCGGAAAACAAAUUUUAACGAAGAUAAGGACGUAAAAUAUUUAUAAAUAAAGCACAAUUAUAUAAAAUAUGUUAAAAGGACGCAAAUGUAAUUUGUUCUAUUAAAUGUAUAGUUCUAGACAA